rnacentral:rRNA from 1 species
GGCUCAGGAUGAACGCUGGCGGCGUGCCUAACACAUGCAAGUCGAACGAAGCACUUUGGUUGAGAUUCGUCAAGAACCGGAUUUGACUUAGUGGCGGACGGGUGAGUAAUGUAUGAGCAACCUGCCUUCAGAGGGGGACAACAGUUGGAAACGACUGCUAAUACCGCAUAAUGUACAUUGAAGGCAUCUUUGAUGUACCAAAGGAGCAAUCCGCUGAAAGAUGGGCUCAUAUCUGAUUAGUUAGUUGGCAGGGUAACGGCCUACCAAGACUGCGAUCAGUAGCCGGACUGAGAGGUUGAACGGCCACAUUGGGACUGAGAUACGGCCCAGACUCCUACGGGAGGCAGCAGUGGGGAAUAUUGGGCAAUGGGCGAAAGCCUGACCCAAGCAACGCCGCGUGAAGGAAGAAGGUCUUCGGAUUGUAAACUUCUUUUAUGAGGGACGAAGGAUGUGACGGUACCUCAUGAAUAAGCCACGGCUAACUACGUGCCAGCAGCGGC